ensembl:lncRNA
AAAACAUUUUAUUUGAUGCAGAGAUGCUAGGGUACAAAAACAACAUUCUGCAGAUGUCGCCUGUGGACACUAUCACCUAUUUACAGUUAUGUACAAAUCAAAUAAGACAGUAACAUCUUCAAUGUAAAAACACAGCAUGCUGCUACAGUCUGCUGGUCAGUGCUCACUAUUCCACCAAACCUCACAAAGGAGAAACUUAAAGAUGAAACAAAGACAAUGGCAAUAACCACUGUUCCACAGGCUUUCCCCCCAGACAAACAGGGAGCUUCUGCAGUGAAAAACAAAACAGUGAAAAUAAAAGUCAUCUACUCUCUAAAUGAAUACAUUUGGUUUUUACAAAAGCUUUUGCUCUCUCCAGACUCACUACAUCUUUUUCUUGAGACAGAAAAUAACCACUUAUUAAAAAUAACAUGCUUACACAUUAGCGUCAUCCAACGGUAAUUAUUUUUUGGCUAAUGACAGGAGCGGCCAACUUUGUCUUUGUCACAUACAAACAGAAGAUAGCUUCUUUGAAUCUUCUCCACUGAAAUUUUCUUUGAUAAAAACAUCAGAUACACAGUCAUAAUGGUUUGCUUUUGUCAGGCAUCUGCUUGUACAAACCACAGUGCUUGGUCGACCUGGAGCCAUGGCUCCAGCCCUUUAGAACACGGACAUGUUCCUUGCAGAGUCUGUGGUCCUCACUGAAUUUUGGAGAGGAGUCGAAGAGCAGGAGGGAAGGCAACUGCCCAAAGGGGCCUCACUCGACCUCUUAGCAAAUUAGCCCUUAGCAACUGCUAUCUUGUCUGUGGCUAAAGUCUGCACCAUUUAAUAAUACUAUGAGUCAUGAAUUAAAGGUGACAUAUACAGAUAUAUAAAAAUAGAAUCCAAAAUUGGAAGGGAGGGGUGGUUGCCACUCAGAUAGUAAGAGCUGGUCUUGAAGGGUAUCUUGAAGCAGCCCAGGAAUGACAUCAGACACAUCAAGAAUAAGCACCAAGUGUUUGAACACACAAGGGAAAAAAAUAACAAACCCACAUAUGAUAGAGGACUACUGCUGAGAAAAAAAAUGUAGUAAGCAACCUUCAAAAUGAACACAGGUGAUAUACCACUUUUUAAAAAGCGUCUUUAUACUUCUAAACAGUAAAAGAAGCUGGGUACGUAAGAAUUUCUGUUAAUCCCCAUCCUGAGCUUGGCUUUCACAAGGCACCAAUGUGAAUAAGGCAGCACAUUCUAUUUGGGCAACUAAACUGAGUGUGAAGCUGAGAAACAGAAGGGCAGUGAAAAUUAUUAAGCCCCUGGAAAACAAGAGCUGUGAAGAAUGAGUAGGGGUGGGAUUAUUUAUCACCGGAAUAAAAAUACUAGAGGGAUGAUUUCACUGUGGUUUUCAAAUACAUGGAAGGUGAGCAGCUGUUCUUUUUCCACUACACGCUGAACAAAAGAAGGCUGGUUUGAAUUUCUAUAAGGAAGAUGUACAAAGAACUAUCUGAUCAGCAGGGGAGGUUACAGAAGCUCCUUCGCUGAAAAUCCAGAAUCACAUCCACAGCCAAAUGACUGAAAUAAUUCAUGCACAACCCUUUCUGUUUGACACUAGAUGGGCACCUGCCAGAUAAUCCAAACUCUCUCUCACCCCCAAAGCUCUGCUAUCAGCAUGAAAGCUAUUGGCUUACAGUCUGUGAUCUCCUUCUGUUUAUUUUAACCCUAAACCUGGAAAGGAGGUGAUAUAGCAAGGAUGACCCAACUCCAUGAGGACUCCUGACUGGUAUCUCCGUAUUCUGUCACAAAUCUCCAAAACAGAUCAAUUCACAAGUUAUUUAAAACUGAAGACGGAGCAAAUGCCUGGCUCUAGUGGAUACUCAGGACUCCUUGCCCUGCUCUCCACAAUGUCUGCUUUCCUCAUUAGGGCUUGGCCUAAGCUCAGCAUUAAAAAAGUGAUUUAAUUCAUCUAAAAAAGUGAUUAAGCCAAGAGUUAAAACUAUAAAUAAGGACCUUUAAGGUGUGGAAUUUAAAUGAAACUAUUCCAAGUGUCACAUUUUAUAAGUGAGGAGAAAUCUGAUUUUGAAAUUAACAAUUGCUUUGCCUUUUUCUUAAAACAUAUGAAGUAUGAAGAAGCAAUCAAAAGAUCUCAAAUGUAUUCACAAUCAUAGCAAAUUUCUUUAGGGAAGCAAUGGGUAAAAAAAAAAAAAAAAGUAAUCUAACUUCUGGCUGCAUUUAGCAAGAGUAUUUUCUUGUGGCACCAGACAUAUGUAAUUACCAUGGAUGCCUUUCUUUUCAAAUUUUCUAAAGCAGAUGUGGCAAACUGAUAGCUAGUGGGCCAAAUCAGGUCCACCCAUGGGUUUCCUGAAUUCAAUUAAGAAUUUUAUUGCCCAUACUAAAAAAAAUAAUCAGAUUUUUUUCAUGUAAAACUCCCAGAUUCCCAGUUUCUCUUGAAAAAUGGGACAAUCAGGAAACACUAUAUGGUCACAACUGGCUGGAGUGGCUGCUCCCUGUAGUACAGCACAAGGGUGUCUGCUGGCCACAGUCUCCACCAGGCCCCACUGUCUCUCUGAGCCCGAGAAGGGUUUGUCACCAUACCUUAUUAUCACUACACUUGCUACAGGGGGGCCUCCUGAAGGAACAGCAUUUGUUAAAUAAGAACAGACUCUUUCCCAACAAUAUCAACUAGAAAAGGCUCAUAAUCUUCUCAUUGCCAUUGUCCACCUCUCUCCAAUAAAGACAGGGUAAUUCCUCUCUCCUUAAGAGAACCCACUUAGUGUUGAGCUGGUUGCGGACUGCAGAGUUUUCUCUCUUUAGGGAGGAAAGUGUGUCAUUUCUUCACCAGGAAUUUAAAAAAAAAAAAAAAGCUUUUUUCUUCCUUUGCUUCUUUUAAAGGAAAAGACAACUCAACUCUGAACUUCUGAUCUGGGACUAUCUCAAUUAUUAUUGUGUCAACCAAAAACUCUUUGUUUCAUGACUUUUAUGACCUCUCUCACAUUGGGCUCAAAAUUCUGUUACCUGGCUAGGUCACUCACUGAAGUCCUGGGACGUGGGCCUGGAUGACUUCUGAUUAUCUGGAGAUCAACGUCCCUCACAGGCCCAGGCCUCAGUUCUCCAAAAGACUCCUGCCCCUGUAUGACUGGGCUAGGCCCAUCCAGGCAGUCCCUACUGCUUGUAGCUCAUCUCAGAGAAGAACACACCUUUGCCUGGGCCUUCACCCACCUGGUCAUGCUCUAAGAAAAGCCGACUGUGCCAAAUGCUAAGGUGUCAUGUGUGUCAGACGUGUAGUGCAUCGGUGAGUCGAGAUAAACAACUGGCUCCCUCAUUUCAACUACCUGCUCUUCCCAGUUAGCUGAAGGAAGCCAGGACCUACCUCUGGUCUCCGGUACAGAGGAUACCACCUAUCUGAGCUACAGAGCCUUUUACUCUAGGAAUAAAGGCCCUUCAUUGAGUUCAAUCCCAUAUUUGAAUUCUUGGUUCCCCAGCAUCUGAAAGCCUGUGACUUCUGAACCUUUAUCUGAAUUCUGUCCUAUCAUUUCCACCAUCCAGGACCAUUCGUGAGUCAAAAGCACCUCUGCAUAAAACGUUUUGCAUUAAUCUAUACAGCAACCAUUCCCACUUUCAGCAUGAGAUGGGGAGGGUUUAAAAAAAAAAAAAGUGAAAGUAAUAAGACAACCCUAGAAAAGCUGGACUUCUCAACUAUUCAGAGCUGGGCAUUCACACUGUCCUUUUCAUUACUUGGUACAAAAGUUUGAUUUUGCUGAACAUCACAAUCUUUAGUAUUUCAAAAUAAGUACCUAAACCCUAAAUUCACACUAAAGCAUCACUUGAUUUUUGGCCAAGCAGUUUUUCCUUUCCAUUUUCACAGUGAGUUUACUUAGCAAGCUCUCUGCCCAUGCUCAUGGAGCUCAGCUGAUGCUUCUUCUCUGGUCUUUCACUCUGUUACUGGGGCCAGUUUCUCAGAGAUGCCUUGUUUCACAUACAAAGCUGAACAUCUAUCCUAAGGCAGCUCCUAAUGGCACCUCUGGGGCAUGCACCAUUUCUUGACUUCAGUAAGAAAUCACUCUGAAAAUGUUUCCAAGUGCAUUUUCAUACAUUAAUAAGACUGCCCCAUCUCCUUCACAGAAUGGAUGCCGACAAUGGAAUGGCAGGACACUCACGGGAGGCCAGAAACUAUGUUCAUCUUGGAUUCCACAGUGACAGCAUGGAACAUCCCUCCUCCAACAAGAUGCUUGGUCUUACAGGGGAGACAGUUCUGCAGCCCACUUGUCUCUCCCUCAGAGCAGCUGCAGGAAACUCGAUGCCAGAAAACAGACGAGCAUGUUCUUCUCCCAAGAAGCUGCCAGCUGCCUUUACAGAGCAGGCAGUGUGGUAUUUGCAUCAAAGAUACACACAAACCUCUUCUUUCCAGCAAGGGUGCAAGCCUUCGCUUCCCCACCUGCUGGGCGUGAACCUCGAAGGAAA